UACGUAGGUGGCAAGCGUUGUCCGGAUUUAUUGGGUUUAAAGGGUGCGUAGGCGGCUUUGUAAGUCAGUGGUGAAAUAUGGCAGCUUAACUGUCAAGGUGCCAUUGAUACUGCAGAGCUUGAGUACAGAUGAGGUAGGCGGAAUUGACGGGUAGGGGUAAAAUCCGUUGAUCCAUUGAAGACCACCAGUGGCGAAGGCGGCUUGCCAGAACGCGCUCGACGGUGAGGGAUGAAAGCUGGGGGAGCAAACCGG
rnacentral:rRNA from 1 species